GAUGAACGCUGGCGGCGUGCUUAACACAUGCAAGUCGAACGGAAAGGCUCCGGAGCGCGGGGGUACGCGAGUGGCGAACGGGUGAGUAAGACGUGGGUGAGCUGCUCUGCACUUGGGGAUAAGCCUGGGAAACUGGGGCAAAUACUGCAUAGGACGGUGGCAUGGAUGACAUGGUGGAAAGUUUUUCGGCUUGGGCUGGGCUGUGGGCAGAUGAGCUUGGUGGUGGGGUAUGGGCCCCCCACGUCGUAGACGGGAAGCCGACCUGAGAGGGGGGACGGCCUCCUUGGUCCUGCGGUACGCCCCAGUCUCCUACGUUAGGCAGUGGUGGGGAGUCUUGCGCAGUGGGGCCGAGCCUGAUGCGGCGGCGCCGCGUGGGUGAUGACGUCCUUCGGGUUGUGAACUCCUUUCGCUAGGGACCAAGCCCCAGUGACGUUACCUGCAGAAGAAGCACCGGCUAACUCCGUG
rnacentral:rRNA from 1 species